AUACGGAGGGGGCUAGCGUUGUUCGGAAUUACUGGGCGUAAAGCGUCCGCAGGCGGAUAAUUAAGUUAGAGGUGAAAUCCCAGGGCUCAACCCUGGAACUGCCUUUAAAACUGGUUAUCUAGAGUUAUGGAGAGGUAAGUGGAAUUCCUAGUGUAGAGGUGAAAUUCGUAGAUAUUAGGAGGAACACCAGAGGCGAAGGCGGCUUACUGGACAUAUACUGACGCUGAGGGACGAAAGUGUGGGGAGCGAACGGGAUUAGAUACCCCUGUAGUCC
rnacentral:rRNA from 1 species